rnacentral:rRNA from 1 species
AGCGGCAGGCUUAACACAUGCAAGUCGAGGGGCAGCAUGUCCAGCAAUGGAUGAUGGCGACCGGCGGAAGGGUGCGUAACGCGUGAGCAACAUGCCCUAUACAGGGAGAUACACCAGGGAAACUUGGUCUAAUAUCCCAUAGCAUUCAUUGAAGGCAUCUUUAAUGAAUUAAAGCUUCGGUGGUAUAGGAUUGGCUCGCGUGACAUUAGCCAGAUGGUGAGGUAACGGCUCACCAUAGCAAUGAUGUCUAGGGGUUUUGAGAGGAAGGCCCCCCACACUGGGACUGAGACACGGCCCAGACUCCUACGGGAGGCAGCAGUGAGGAAUAUUGGACAAUGGAUGGAAAUCUGAUCCAGCCAUGCCGCGUGCAGGAAGACGGCCUUAUGGGUUGUAAACUGCUUUUAUACGGGAGCAAUAAGGGUUACGAGUAAUCCGAUGAGAGUACUGUAUGAAUAAGGAUCGGCUAACUCCGUG